GUAGUGGUAGCACAGUGGUUAAGACGUUGGACUUUUGGUCGGAAGUUCGUGAGUUCAAAUCCCAGCGCCACUGCU